GCGCCCGUAGCUCAACGGAUAGAGCAUCGCACUUCGGAUGCGAGGGUUGGGGGUUCGAGUCCCUUCGGGCGCGCCA
rnacentral:tRNA from 1 species